GCCCCUGUAGGCUAAUUGGAUAAACCACCGGCCUCCGAAGCCGGAUUUCCGCGUUCGAGUCGCGGCGGGGGUA
rnacentral:tRNA from 1 species